AUGCUCCGUGCAAAAGAGGGAGCCCGGCAGCACCGGUAUCUGGGAGGGGAUCUGCAGCCCACCUUCCUGCAGCAGAGGCCAGGAAGAGGCGCUGGAGGGAGUGGAGACAUUGCAGGUAGCGCUGAGAGCUGGCCGCAGCCCCGUCUUCCCUUUGAAACAAAUUUGUCUUUGCGUCCUUCCCGGGGAAACACCUGGCUCCGGCCUGGCUCAUUGUCCUCGGCUGGCCCCGCAAUGCGCCGAGCGGCUGGGGACCCUCACGAAGCUACAGACCCCUCCAAGAGACCUCCGUCUUCCCACGAGGCACCCAAACCCUCCGGAGAUUGCCGAAGGAAGGAAGCAGGGCUGGCGGGGCUUGCUACCACCGUGCUGCUUGCCAGGGGCCAGUUAAACCUUUUGGCAGGAUUCUUGGCCCUUCCCGAGGGGACAGCAACGGCGCUAGGACGAAUCCCCGGUGUGCACGGGGCUGAUACGGCCCUCGCCAACAGACGGCGGUGCGGUGGGCAGCUGGAGCGAGAGCAGUUGUUGACCCAGAGCCACCAGUGCCGUGGGGUCAGCGCGGCAGCGUGCCCGCUAUCUGGGCGGCUGCAAGGCGGCACGCCACUGCUCGCCGCGGCCCCGAUAGCAGCUCUGCCCCCAGAGCGAGCCCGGCUGCGCUUAUCUGCUGCUCGGGGCCGUGGUCCGACAGAGCCAGGCACCCGCAGGGGGGCUGCGGGGCUGGGGGCCCCCCGACAAGUGCGCAAACAAGCUCAGGAUGUGAGCACAAUAGCCGAGGACGGGGCUUUGAAAAGCAGGGGGACGCAGCGCGGCCGUCCCGGGGCACAUCAAAGGCCCCGUCUCGCGCUCGCGGCUCCCCAGCAGCCCCCGUGUUUGAUCGCCGCGGGCCUGGCCCCGGCUGGCCAGGGGGCUGGAGCGGUGGGAAGCGGAAAGGGAAAAGGCAGCAGUGGGGAGAGGGCAGGCACGGGGCCGGGAUACAGCCCCCAGGCUCCACAUCACGGGUUUCUCAUGAGCUCCCUCGGUCCCUCUUUGUUCUGGCCCUGGCUGAUUGUAUCUCGAGCGCAGCACACUGCCCCUCUCUUCCCCACUUCCCCACAUCUCCGGGCAGGCGUCUGGGUCCUUUUCCGAAGUUCCUUGUGCGCCAUUUCACUUGUCCUCAACCUGCAAUUGCCACAGCUGGGAGCUUUGUAUUUCUUUUAUUCCCUUGCGGAUUCGGUGGGCUGA
rnacentral:lncRNA from 1 species